ACAUAAGCAUCAUAAAAACAUUAUAUCUCAUACAAGACCAUGUGUACAGGGAAUACAACAGACUCUAGUCAAGCACAUUAUUAAACUUACAUUACAUUACAUCUCAUACUUUUACAUUACCAACAAACCAUGUCCACAGCUAAGCUAUUACAUAAACUUCUCUUACUCUGCUGACUUCUCUAUCUACUCUGCACCUGCAAGACUGGGGUUAGGGGAGAGGGGGUGAGCUAUAAAGCCCAAUGAGCGGAAACUGAAAACAUUUGCUUUAAUUCCUCCCUUUUUAGGUAUAUUAUUAUUCAUUUUAUUAUUAUUAAUAUUUGUUUUAAUUCCUCCAUUUUUAGGUAUAUUAUUAUUCAUUUUAUUAUUUUUAUUAUUAUUAUUCAACUUUUUCUUUCUUUUUCUUAUUCAUGCUUUCAUGAAAUGCAACACAUCACAGCUAAUCACAUAAAGGAUGGUAUUGUCACCAUUAGUCCUCAACAUCUCCAAAUGCCAGGGGCGUAGAAUGGGCCUCACUGGUCUUUCUCUUACAUAACAUAACAUUCCAAAGUGCCAGGGGCGUAGAAUGGGCCUCACUGGUCUUUCUCUUACAUAGUGCCAGGGGCGUAGAAUGGGCCUCGCUGGUCUCCCAUAACAUAUCAUCAUAACAUAACAUCAGAGGACUAUGGAUCACCCAACAACCAUCCACAUCAACAUCAAUUUAUGCAAUGCAGCAUAUUCGUGAAUUCUAAUGCAAACAUCCUGAAAUAUUGCAUGGCAUAAUGAUGCAUGGGCAAUGCUUUAUGAUUCAUUCAUUUAUUCAUUUAUUCAUUUACUUUACUUUAAAACUUAAGGGGUCGUUCCACUCACCUGGUGACUGAAGCUUAACAACGAACUCUGAACGACUAUCUCACAACCGGGGGUCUCGGUUCCUCGGGUCCGAACCUACACAGGUGGACUCAAAUGAGGCACCAAACAACAAGAACAUAACUCUAAACAUA
rnacentral:lncRNA from 1 species